rnacentral:rRNA from 1 species
AACGAACGCUGGCGGCAGGCUUAACACAUGCAAGUCGAGCGCCCCGCAAGGGGAGCGGCAGACGGGUGAGUAACGCGUGGGAAUCUACCCAUCUCUACGGAAUAACGCAUGGAAACGUGUGCUAAUACCGUAUACGUCCUUCGGGAGAAAGAUUUAUCGGAGAUGGAUGAGCCCGCGUUGGAUUAGCUAGUUGGUGGGGUAAAGGCCGACCAAGGCGACGAUCCAUAGCUGGUCUGAGAGGAUGAUCAGCCACACUGGGACUGAGACACGGCCCAGACUGCUACGUGAGGCAGCAGUGGGGAAUAUGGGCCGAUGGGCGCAACACUUCUCCAGCAAUGCCGCGUGAGUGAUGAAGGCCCUAGGGUUGUAAAGCUCUUUCACCGGUGAAGAUAAUGACGGUAACCGGAGAAGAAGCCCCGGCUAACUUCGUGCCAGCAGCCGCGGUAAAAC